AGCUCCAUUAGCGUAUAUUAAAGUUGUUGCAGUUAAAAAGCUCGUAGUUGGAUUUCGGAGCCGACCGGGCGGUCUGUCGAGAGACACGCACUGCUCGGUGGCUCUUCCUCUCGGAGGCCCUGGCUGCCCUUAACUGGAGCGGGCAGGGGAUUCGGGACGUUUACUUUGAAAAAAUUAGAGUGCUCAAAGCAGGCGUUUGCCUGAAUAGUUGUGCAUGGAAUGAUGGAAUAGGGCCUCGGUUCUAUUUUGUCGGUUCUCUGAACCCGAGGUAAUGAUUAAUAGGGACAGACGGGGGCAUUCGUAUUGCGACGUUAGAGGUGAAAUUCUUAGAUCGUCGCAAGACGAACUACUGCGAAAGCAUUUGCCAAGCAUGUUUUCAUUAAUCAAGAACGAAAGUAGG
rnacentral:rRNA from 1 species